AGAGUUUGAUCCUGGCUCAGGAUGAACGCUGGCGGCGUGCUUAACACAUGCAAGUCGAACGGGAAUUACUUUAUUGAAACUUCGGUCGAUAUGAUUUAAUUCUAGUGGCGGACGGGUGAGUAACGCGUGGGUAACCUGCCUUAUACAGGGGGAUAACAGUCAGAAAUGACUGCUAAUACCGCAUAAGCGCACAGAGCUGCAUGGCUCGGUGUGAAAAACUCCGGUGGUAUAAGAUGGACCCGCGUUGGAUUAGCUGGUUGGUGAGGUAACGGCCCACCAAGGCGACGAUCCAUAGCCGGCCUGAGAGGGUGAACGGCCACAUUGGGACUGAGACACGGCCCAGACUCCUACGGGAGGCAGCAGUGGGGAAUAUUGCACAAUGGGGGAAACCCUGAUGCAGCGACGCCGCGUGAAGGAAGAAGUAUCUCGGUAUGUAAACUUCUAUCAGCAGGGAAGAAAAUGACGGUACCUGACAUAAGAAGCCCCGGCUAACUACGUGCCAGCAGCCGCGGU
rnacentral:rRNA from 1 species